UAACAAGGAUUCCCCUAGUAACUGCGAGUGAAGCGGGAUGAGCUCAAAUUUAAAAUCUGACGGUUUCGCCGUCCGAGUUGUAAUCUGGAGAAGCGUUUUCCGCGUCGGACCGUGUACAAGUCCCUUGGAACGGGGCGUCAUAGAGGGUGAGAAUCCCGUCCAUGACACGGACUACCUAUGCUUUGUGAUACGCUCUCGAAGAGUCGAGUUGUUUGGGAAUGCAGCUCAAAAUGGGUGGUAAAUUCCAUCUAAAGCUAAAUAUUGGCGAGAGACCGAUAGCGAACAAGUACCGUGAGGGAAAGAUGAAAAGCACUUUGGAAAGAGAGUUAAACAGUACGUGAAAUUGUUGAAAGGGAAACGCUUGGAGUCAGUCGCGUCUGUCGAGACUCAGCCUCGCCUUCGGGCUUGGUGUACUUCUCGGUCGACGGGCCAACAUCGAUUUUGGGUGGCGGAUAAAGGUCUGGGGAAGGUGGCACCUUCGGGUGUGUUAUAGCCCCUCUCCGCAUACGUCGUCUGGGAUCGAGGACCGCAGCGCGCCCUUGUGGCCGGGGCUUUGCCCACGUACCGCGCUUAGGAUGUUGGCGUAAUGGCUUUAAGCGACCCGUCUU
rnacentral:rRNA from 1 species